rnacentral:snoRNA from 1 species
AUGUUUUUAUACAAUGGCUGCAAACAGCAACCUCCUGAGUAGUGUAUGCAGCCUGUUGCUUGUAUUGGUUGCCUGAAGGGACCUUGGAGACAGUU